rnacentral:rRNA from 1 species
CAGUCGCCGCGGUAAUACGUAGGUGGCAAGCGUUGUCCGGAAUUAUUGGGCGUAAAGGGCUCGCAGGCGGUUUCUUAAGUCUGAUGUGAAAGCCCCCGGCUCAACCGGGGAGGGUCAUUGGAAACUGGGAAACUUGAGUGCAGAAGAGGAGAUUGGAAUUCCACGUGUAGCGGUGAAAUGCGUAGAGAUGUGGAGGAACACCAGUGGCGAAGGCGACUCUCUGGUCUGUAACUGACGCUGAGGAGCGAAAGCGUGGGGAGCGAACAGGAUUAGAUACCCCCGUAGUCCCUGUCUCUUAUAC